GCUGCUUCUCAGCCUUUUGGCCAAGAUCAUGUGUAAUAUCUGUUCUUAUCAGUUUAUCAGUCAGAAGGUCAAGGGUUUCAAUCCUGGCUCCUCCACUUGUUUGCUGUGUUACCUUGGGCAAAUCACUUACUUCACUUCUCUGGGCCUCAGUUACCUCAU
rnacentral:snRNA from 1 species